rnacentral:rRNA from 1 species
GAUGAACGCUGGCGGCGUGCCUAAUACAUGCAAGUCGAGCGAACUUUUGGGAGCUUGCUCCCAAAAGUUAGCGGCGGACGGGUGAGUAACACGUGGGUAACCUGCCUGUAAGACUGGGAUAACUUCGGGAAACCGGAGCUAAUACCGGAUAACAUCGAAGACCACAUGGUCUUCAAUUAAAAGGUGGCUUUUAGCUACCACUUACAGAUGGACCCGCGGCGCAUUAGCUAGUUGGUGAGGUAACGGCUCACCAAGGCGACGAUGCGUAGCCGACCUGAGAGGGUGAUCGGCCACACUGGGACUGAGACACGGCCCAGACUCCUACGGGAGGCAGCAGUAGGGAAUCUUCCGCAAUGGACGAAAGUCUGACGGAGCAACGCCGCGUGAGCGAAGAAGGCCUUCGGGUCGUAAAGCUCUGUUGUUAGGGAAGAACAAGUAUCGUUCGAAUAGGGCGGUACCUUGACGGUACCUAACCAGAAAGCCACGGCUAACUACGUGCCAGCAGCCGCGGUAAUACGUAGGUGGCAAGCGUUAUCCGGAAUUAUUGGGCGUAAAGCGCGCGCAGGCGGUCCUUUAAGUCUGAUGUGAAAGCCCACGGCUCAACCGUGGAGGGUCAUUGGAAACUGGGGGACUUGAGUGCAGAAGAGGAGAGCGGAAUUCCACGUGUAGCGGUGAAAUGCGUAGAGAUGUGGAGGAACACCAGUGGCGAAGGCGGCUCUCUGGUCUGUAACUGACGCUGAGGCGCGAAAGCGUGGGGAGCGAACAGGAUUAGAUACCCUGGUAGUCCACGCCGUAAACGAUGAGUGCUAAGUGUUAGAGGGUUUCCGCCCUUUAGUGCUGCAGCAAACGCAUUAAGCACUCCGCCUGGGGAGUACGGUCGCAAGACUGAAACUCAAAGGAAUUGACGGGGGCCCGCACAAGCGGUGGGGCAUGUGGUUUAAUUCGAAGCAACGCGAAGAACCUUACCAGGUCUUGACAUCCUUAUGCCAU